ACUGCGCGUAAUGAUCUCUUUUUGAGAUGUGUACCCAGAGGUUCAACUUGUGGGACCUGGACUGUACCCUCUGCAGUCACGUUGCCAGGAACAAUGCCACGCAUGUCAUUUCCUGAAAUAAUGGAGUUGGAAGGCAAUUAUCUACUCACGAAACAGGCUGAAACAACAGUUCCUGAUAUUCCUCUCAAAUACUUUAACUUCCCAAGGAAUCCGGAAAAAAUAAUUCCAUGAGACAGUGCUGUGAAUGAAGACCGGUUGCUAUUUCCUCCGUGACUCUUGUUUAUUAGCGCGUUGACUCAUCCGGAGUCCAGCGCCCGUUUCCACACCAGAGAGAUGGACUUGCACACCUGCCAAGUGCGGUCGGAGGCGCAGAUAACGGCCAGCGACAACAAUGGCCUUCCUCAGCCUGCCGGCCAGCAGCUCUUGGCAGGGUGGGCUGCGAGUGACUUAUCGUCGCCGCCCCGAGGGAUCUGAA